rnacentral:rRNA from 1 species
UGGGGAAUUUUGGGCAAUGGGCGAAAGCCUGAUCCAGCAAUGCCGCGUGUGUGAAGAAGGCCUUCGGGUUGUAAAGCACUUUUGUCCGGAAAGAAAUCCUUGGCUCUAAUACAGUCGGGGGAUGACGGUACCGGAAGAAUAAGCACCGGCUAACUACGUGCCAGCAGCCGCGGUAAUACGUAGGGUGCAAGCGUUAAUCGGAAUUACUGGGCGUAAAGCGUGCGCAGGCGGUUUGCUAAGACCGAUGUGAAAUCCCCGGGCUCAACCUGGGAACUGCAUUGGUGACUGGCAGGCUAGAGUAUGGCAGAGGGGGGUAGAAUUCCACGUGUAGCAGUGAAAUGCGUAGAGAUGUGGAGGAAUACCGAUGGCGAAGGCAGCCCCCUGGGCCAAUACUGACGCUCAUGCACGAAAGCGUGGGGAGCAAAACAGGAUUAGAUACCCUGGUAGUCCACGCCCUAAACGAUGUCAACUAGUUGUUGGGGAUUCAUUUCCUUAGUAACGUAGCUAACGCGUGAAGUUGACCGCCCGGGGAGUACGGUCGC